UUGAGAAAUUGAAAUUGGUGUUAUAUGAGAAUGUAAGCAAAAGGCAACAACAAUGACUUAUUGCAUAUAACUAUCGGUGUGACAGGUUUCCACACUCUUAUAA